rnacentral:rRNA from 1 species
UAGGGAAUCUUCCACAAUGGGCGCAAGCCUGAUGGAGCAACACCGCGUGAGUGAAGAAGGGUUUCGGCUCGUAAAGCUCUGUUGUUAAAGAAGAACACGUAUGAGAGUAACUGUUCAUACGUUGACGGUAUUUAACCAGAAAGUCGCGGCUAACUACGUGCCAG